UACAGAGGUCUCGAGCGUUGUUCGGAUUCAUUGGGCGUAAAGGGUGCGUAGGCGGCGGGGCAAGUCUGAUGUGAAAUCCCGGGGCUCAACCCUGGAACUGCAUUGGAUACUGCCUUGCUAGAGUACUGGAGAGGAAACUGGAAUUUACGGUGUAGCAGUGAAAUGCGCAGAUAUCGGGAGGAACACCAAUGGCGAAGGCAGCUCGCUGGGACGUUACUGACGCUGAGACGCGAAAGCGUGGGUAGCAAACAGG
rnacentral:rRNA from 1 species